rnacentral:lncRNA from 1 species
GGGUACACCUCACGACCCAUGUGGUCUUGUUGAUCCAUUUGCACUUUUAAUUUCAUUUGGUGGAUGAAUAUUGGUCACAUGAAUGUGUAGGAAAAAGCAUGUUUAAUUAUUCCUUUGUUUUGCAUUAAUUUUCAUACUAGGAUUAGUUGCUUUUUAGUUUCUCUAAUUUAGUUUUGCAUUUAAUUUAAUUUAACUGUAUU